rnacentral:rRNA from 1 species
AGAACGAACGCUGGCGGCAGGCUUAACACAUGCAAGUCGAGCGCCUCGCAAGAGGAGCGGCAGACGGGUGAGUAACACGUGGGAACGUGCCCAAAGGUACGGAACAACUCCGGGAAACUGGAGCUAAUACCGUAUGUGCCCGAAAGGGGAAAGAUUUAUCGCCUUUGGAUCGGCCCGCGUCUGAUUAGCUAGUUGGCGGGGUAAUGGCCCACCAAGGCGACGAUCAGUAGCUGGUCUGAGAGGAUGACCAGCCACAUUGGGACUGAGACACGGCCCAAACUCCUACGGGAGGCAGCAGUGGGGAAUAUUGGACAAUGGGCGCAAGCCUGAUCCAGCCAUGCCGCGUGAGUGAUGAAGGCCUUAGGGUUGUAAAGCUCUUCGCCGAGGACGAUAAUGACGGUACUCGGAUAAGACGCCCGGCUAACUUCGCGCCAGCAGCCGC